CCUUACGGCAUGGGGACUACAUUUCCCAGGGGGCGUAGCGGCUGCCGCAGGAAGCUGCGCGCCUUAGGCCCAGUGCGCACGCGCAAGUGCCGCUUUGGUCUAUAUAAGGAAGGUUCGCAGCCGCCUUCACCCUUUCGUUCCUCGGACGCCAUGAGGCUCUUUUGUAGGUGUUAUAUGCCUUGUCCCUGCGGGAGUCGUUUGCAGAUGGUUGGCCUGGCCAAUAGGUACAGAAUGGAGGCUGGAGAGAGAGGAGGAGACAUCGCCUUUGCGUAUCCAGGAAGAUGAGAAGUCGCCCAUCGUCUUCGGUGUACUAAUCUCGUUUACUGACCGCCAAGACCAGGUUUGGAUAGAAGUCGGGAGUAGGAGAGGAUUGGCAUGAGGGAGCCGUGGGUGCCAGUUUGUUGGUCUGAUCUUCCUUGAUUUUUCAGGUGAGGUUCUGUUAGUGUUUCCACCCAGUUCUGGAGACAUUAGGAACAGGUGUGGUCAGUUCUGUUGCAGUAAAGGUUUCCAGUGGAAUUUCUUUGGCCUUUACAAAUAUACAUUAACGUUCUAAGUGAGAAGUUCCCAGGCAUUUUGCCUUUGUACCUUGGAAUAAGCCAAAGCAUAAGAUUUCAACCAGAUGUGGUUCACACCAGACAAGACUGUCAACCUUUUAACUUUCUUUUUAGACACUUGUGGAAUGCAGACAUUAAAGAUCAGCCCUGUUUCCUGCUGCCCAGCCCCACAAGGCUUUCACACUUGCCCCGAAGGCUGUGCAGAAUGCAAAGAAGCUUUUAACAAUGUGGUGUAGCAUGCACUGCAGAAAC